rnacentral:lncRNA from 1 species
AAAAAUACAAUUUUUUGAUUAAACCAUAAAAAAAUCACUAUUUUUUUUAAAAAAAAACACGAAAACAAGGCAAUUAAAAGAUAUUAAAAAAAAUAUGCCAAGCUAGGCUUAAAUAUAAUGAAGGAAAGUUAAAAACCAGCUCUAGUCUUUUUUAUCAAAUAUCUAUCAAAUAAAGAAACAACUAAAUCUUUUAAAAUCAAGGAUACGCCAAAUCAUGCAUCAAAUUUGGAAACUUUAAUUUUUAGUCAAAUUUUUAGAAAGAGUAAGGUUUGGAGAUUUGUAAGAAGGUAUAAUAAGAAAAAAAAAAAUAAAAGGGUGAAUUUCACUGACCUCCCUGAGGUUUCUCACAAAUAUAUUCACUUCCCCUUUAGUUUUUAAAAUUGCAUUGACCUCUCUUAUUUUUAAAAUUAUUGUCAAGAUUCCUCCGAAACUCAAAAAUGAUAAGAUUACCAUUAUAUUUAGGACUUUUAAUUUUUUUUUCUGAAUACACUAAUUAAAAUAAAAUAAAUAUUUUUUUUUCUCCAAACAUCAUUUAUUUUUAAACUAUUCUAUUUUAAUAUUUUAUCAAUACGUAAUUUAUUUUAAAAAUAAUUAAUCUAAAUAAUUUAUUUUUUAAAUAUUUCUAAUCAUAAAAAAUAAAAGUUUUUAUUUUAAAAUUGAUCUAAAUAUUUUACUUUUUAAGUGCUAUUAAUUUAAACAUAUUUAAAAAAUAUUAUUUUUUUUUUAAAAAAAGAUACGUUUAUUCAUUGCAAUUGGUGUAUUGGGAAAAAAAUUAGAAGCUUAAAUAUAAGGACAAUGAUAUUAUUUUUUUACAAAAAUUAGAGUGAAUCUUGACAAUAGUUUCAAAAAUAAAGAAUAUCGGGGCAAUUUUAAAAAUUACAGGGGUGAUGACUUUAUUUAUUGGAAAUCUCAGGAGAGGUCAGUGACAAAAAAUAAAAAAAAAAAUUGGAGUACUUCCUAUCCUAUUACCCUUCUUAUUAAAUUUGUACUCAAAUUAAUGAAAAAAGGAGUAAGGAUUAAAGAUUGUCUCACAUUGUAUUAAAACAUAUAUCAGCAUGAUAUCAUAUAUUUCUUUUAUGUUUUCAGUAUAAAUGGAUGGUUUCCAAUUUUGAAAAGAUAUACCAAACAUUUGGCAAUAGGAAAUUUUUUUCAUGUACUCGGUAUAUGCUAUAUAUUAUUGCGAAAUGACCUUUUCAGUUGAGUUAUGGAAACGUCAUAUUGUAAGGUAUUUUUUUUAUUUUUAUAUAAAUAAGAAAUAUAUGCUAACGGAUGCUUUAUUAAUAUCAAAAUGAUUGCAUUGAGCCACUUAUUAGCCGAAUUUGAGAAAUAAGAAUUAACCGAAUUUUAAGACAUAAAAAGCAAAAGCUGCAGCGAUCGCGCUGGCGGCAUUUGCCUUCCACCAAUAAGUUAGGUUUCCAUUGUGUUCCAUUCCAUGGUUAAUGUGCUCUAAUUAAUGGAUUUCAUGUGAUUUUCAUUUUUUAUUGUGGAUUUGAUGUGAUUUUGUCAACCAAUGUGUGCCAAGUGGGGACCACGCAGCUCCACCAUGAUCAUUCUAAACGGACGAUGUUGAUCACUGUAGAGAUUUUUUGGUUUGUCCUAAUUUCCUUAAUCCAUCCGUUGCUGUGGAGUUACAUUGUCUGUGAUUUGGGGUACAAUUAUGAUGGUUAGUCACAUUCUGUACCCAAAGGCCUCGUUUGUUUACCGGAUUGGAUAAGGAGUCUCCGGACUAAUAGCCUCCGGACUGGACUGGUUGUCGGACUACUUGGCCCAGGAUAGACGUGUAGUCGUUGUUUUGCUCCGACAAAACUCUGGAUAAGUGUAGUUCGUCUUGUCCCAUGUGCGUUUCUAGUAAUCGGAUGACAAAUUGAAGGAAUGACCAACAUACCCUUCAAUUUUUUUGGAAAAACAAGCUUUCUUUUUUAAAAAUUAACCGUUUUCUUAAAAAUAUUUUUUUUAAAAUGUAAAUUUUUAUUUUAAUUGUUUUGAAAAUAAUUAGAAAAAUUAUAUUUUUAAAAAAAUAACAUUUUUUUUUUUUUUAAAAAAAUACUUAAUUUUAUAAGAAAAGUUGAUUAUAAUUUUAAAAAUUGUCUCAUAAAAAUAUCUAUUCAAAUUAUUUUGUUAAUAUUUUUUCGAUUAAGAUAUUUUUUAAAAAAAUAUUUUUUAGAAAAAAUGGAUUAAUUGUCAAAAAAAAAAAACGGUUUAUUAAAAAAAAAAAUAGAUUAAAAAAUAAUAAUAAAAAAAAAAAGAAAAAAAUUAUUAAAAAAACUUAAUAAAAAAAAUAAAAAAUCAAAACUAAAAAUAAAACCGAAAGAAAGAUGAUGAGAGGAGAGAGAGUAGGAGAGAGGGGGGAAUUAAUUUAAUGUGGAAGGAUUCAAUUAGUUAAUUUAUGAUAUUAGUCCGACUAGGCUUAGUCCAGGGACUAAUUGUACCCACCAUCAACCCCCGGGACAGCACUGUCCAAUAGUAUACCGGACUAUUAGUCCGGUCGGAAUAAUAGUCC